rnacentral:rRNA from 1 species
UAACCUGCGGAGGAUCAUUG